AGAGUUUGAUCAUGGCUCAGAUUGAACGCUGGCGGCAGGCCUAACACAUGCAAGUCGAACGGUAACAGGAAGAAGCUUGCUUCUUUGCUGACGAGUGGCGGACGGGUGAGUAAUGUCUGGGAAACUGCCUGAUGGAGGGGGAUAACUACUGGAAACGGUAGCUAAUACCGCAUAACGUCGCAAGACCAAAGAGGGGGACCUUCGGGCCUCUUGCCAUCGGAUGUGCCCAGAUGGGAUUAGCUAGUAGGUGGGGUAACGGCUCACCUAGGCGACGAUCCCUAGCUGGUCUGAGAGGAUGACCAGCCACACUGGAACUGAGACACGGUCCAGACUCCUACGGGAGGCAGCAGUGGGGAAUAUUGCACAAUGGGCGCAAGCCUGAUGCAGCCAUGCCGCGUGUAUGAAGAAGGCCUUCGGGUUGUAAAGUACUUUCAGCGGGGAGGAAGGGAGUAAAGUUAAUACCUUUGCUCAUUGACGUUACCCGCAGAAGAAGCACCGGCUAACUCCGUGCCAGCAGCCGCGGUAAUACGGAGGGUGCAAGCGUUAAUCGGAAUUACUGGGCGUAAAGCGCACGCAGGCGGUUUGUUAAGUCAGAUGUGAAAUCCCCGGGCUCAACCUGGGAACUGCAUCUGAUACUGGCAAGCUUGAGUCUCGUAGAGGGGGGUAGAAUUCCAGGUGUAGCGGUGAAAUGCGUAGAGAUCUGGAGGAAUACCGGUGGCGAAGGCGGCCCCCUGGACGAAGACUGACGCUCAGGUGCGAAAGCGUGGGGAGCAAACAGGAUUAGAUACCCUGGUAGUCCACGCCGUAAACGAUGUCGACUUGGAGGUUGUGCCCUUGAGGCGUGGCUUCCGGAGCUAACGCGUUAAGUCGACCGCCUGGGGAGUACGGCCGCAAGGUUAAAACUCAAAUGAAUUGACGGGGGCCCGCACAAGCGGUGGAGCAUGUGGUUUAAUUCGAUGCAACGCGAAGAACCUUACCUGGUCUUGACAUCCACGGAAGUUUUCAGAGAUGAGAAUGUGCCUUCGGGAACCGUGAGACAGGUGCUGCAUGGCUGUCGUCAGCUCGUGUUGUGAAAUGUUGGGUUAAGUCCCGCAACGAGCGCAACCCUUAUCCUUUGUUGCCAGCGGUCCGGCCGGGAACUCAAAGGAGACUGCCAGUGAUAAACUGGAGGAAGGUGGGGAUGACGUCAAGUCAUCAUGCCCCUUACGACCAGGGCUACACACGUGCUACAAUGGCGCAUACAAAGAGAAGCGACCUCGCGAGAGCAAGCGGACCUCAUAAAGUGCGUCGUAGUCCGGAUUGGAGUCUGCAACUCGACUCCAUGAAGUCGGAAUCGCUAGUAAUCGUGGAUCAGAAUGCCACGGUGAAUACGUUCCCGGGCCUUGUACACACCGCCCGUCACACCAUGGGAGUGGGUUGCAAAAGAAGUAGGUAGCUUAACCUUCGGGAGGGCGCUUACCACUUUGUGAUUCAUGACUGGGGUGAAGUCGAAACAAGGUA
rnacentral:rRNA from 1 species